CACGUAGGGUGCAAGCGUUGUCCGGAUUCAUUGGGCGUAAAGGGCUAGUAGGCGGCUUAGCAAGUCGGGUGUGAAAACUUCAGGCUCAACCUGGAGCUGCCAUCCGAUACUGCUAUGGCUAGAGUCCGGUAGGGGACCACGGAAUUCCUGGUGUAGCGGUGAAAUGCGCAGAUAUCAGGAAGAACACCCGUGGCGAAGGCGGCUCUCUGGAACGCAACUGACGCUGAGACGCGAAAGCGUGGGGAGCAAACAGG
rnacentral:rRNA from 1 species